AUUGAACGCUGGCGGCAUGCCUUACACAUGCAAGUCGAACGGCAGCAUGAUCUAGCUUGCUAGAUUGAUGGCGAGUGGCGAACGGGUGAGUAAUACAUCGGAACGUGCCCUGUAGUGGGGGAUAACUAGUCGAAAGAUUAGCUAAUACCGCAUACGACCUGAGGGUGAAAGUGGGGGACCGCAAGGCCUCAUGCUAUAGGAGCGGCCGAUGUCUGAUUAGCUAGUUGGUGAGGUAAAGGCUCACCAAGGCGACGAUCAGUAGCUGGUCUGAGAGGACGAUCAGCCACACUGGGACUGAGACACGGCCCAGACUCCUACGGGAGGCAGCAGUGGGGAAUUUUGGACAAUGGGGGCAACCCUGAUCCAGCAAUGCCGCGUGUGUGAAGAAGGCCUUCGGGUUGUAAAGCACUUUUGUCCGGAAAGAAAUCGCACUUACUAAUAUUAGGUGUGGAUGACGGUACCGGAAGAAUAAGGACCGGCUAACUACGUGCCAGCAGCCGCGGUAAUACGUAGGGUCCAAGCGUUAAUCGGAAUUACUGGGCGUAAAGCGUGCGCAGGCGGUUGUGCAAGACCGAUGUGAAAUCCCCGGGCUUAACCUGGGAAUUGCAUUGGUGACUGCACGGCUAGAGUGUGUCAGAGGGGGGUAGAAUUCCACGUGUAGCAGUGAAAUGCGUAGAGAUGUGGAGGAAUACCGAUGGCGAAGGCAGCCCCCUGGGAUAACACUGACGCUCAUGCACGAAAGCGUGGGGAGCAAACAGGAUUAGAUACCCUGGUAGUCCACGCCCUAAACGAUGUCAACUAGUUGUUGGGGAUUCAUUUCCUUAGUAACGUAGCUAACGCGUGAAGUUGACCGCCUGGGGAGUACGGUCGCAAGAUUAAAACUCAAAGGAAUUGACGGGGACCCGCACAAGCGGUGGAUGAUGUGGAUUAAUUCGAUGCAACGCGAAAAACCUUACCUACCCUUGACAUGCCACUAACGAAGCAGAGAUGCAUUAGGUGCUCGAAAGAGAAAGUGGACACAGGUGCUGCAUGGCUGUCGUCAGCUCGUGUCGUGAGAUGUUGGGUUAAGUCCCGCAACGAGCGCAACCCUUGUCUCUAGUUGCUACGAAAGGGCACUCUAGAGAGACUGCCGGUGACAAACCGGAGGAAGGUGGGGAUGACGUCAAGUCCUCAUGGCCCUUAUGGGUAGGGCUUCACACGUCAUACAAUGGUGCAUACAGAGGGUUGCCAAGCCGCGAGGUGGAGCUAAUCCCAGAAAAUGCAUCGUAGUCCGGAUCGUAGUCUGCAACUCGACUACGUGAAGCUGGAAUCGCUAGUAAUCGCGGAUCAGCAUGCCGCGGUGAAAAGGUUCCCGGGUCU
rnacentral:rRNA from 1 species